AAAGAUAGUCAGAGGCCUCCAAGCUGAAGAUUAACAGAAGUGGUCACGAUGCAUGUUUGCGAUGCUCCUUGCAAGCUAAUUAGCUCUGCUGAAAAGCAGCAGUUUUCAGCUUUGGCAUCACCAUUCUUGAGAAAAGCCAUGUUUGGGAACCUACACAGACUGGACUUCAAGAAAAUCAAAUCAAGCACUGCCAUUUUAGCAGCUAGACUUGCUGUAUGAUUUGUUCAACAAAAUGAUCAGGAUCUAAGCUGAAACCCGCUGACGUUCAUGGAAAGCUCCCAUUUGUUUCUGUUUAAACAGACAUUUCCAGAAUGAAGUACAGUGAUUCUUUUAAAUCAACUAAUGCAUCCUCUCACCAGCAAGGAGUUAGACAUUGUAGGGUUUUGCUCAGUCUGACCUUGAGAGCAGUAUGUCAGGUGGCUGCUUCCCACCUGCUGAAAUGGGGCAGGUAAUAGGGUGGCUGAGGUGCCAGGGUAGGAGGAAUUUCUAUCUUCACAGAAUCCCCAGUGCAGUAAAUCAUACAUUAGGUUUAAAUUAAAUUGUGCUGAAAUAAAUGGAUUGCUUUCUAAAAAAAGAUUACAGAAUUUUACUAGAUGAAGAAACAUGAAAUAAAUGAGCUAAUUACAUGCCCACUUACCUCUGUGCUAAGCAUGAUAGAUCGAAAUGAAUUUCUGUACGCUUAUUAUAGGCAUACUGUAGUUCUGUGGUUUACAUAGCAGACUUAAUUAUUUUGCAAACUAUUUAAUACCGUAUCUUUUACAUUCUACUCCCAGUCUAAAUUGUCUGGAUUACAAAAAUCACAAGGACAGAAAGCUGGAUCAAAGACUGCAGACAAGGCGUAGCAAUAAAUAGGACUUGCUAGUGCAAGUGUGUGGGGAGGUAAUAGUGAGUGCGCAUCCAGAAACAACAGCAGCUAAUAUCAUGCCUCCAUUAACAACUUCACACGCUGUCUGAAACUGGAAGUAAACAGUGUCUCAACAAUGAAAUGCAAAAGUUGUACCACAUACAAAGAGUUCUUUGCUCACUGCUCUUGGUAGUGAAGAGCAUGCUUUUUGCUUGGACCAUAAUUUCACUGAUUCCUUGUUAACUUCCAGAGUGUUGAUGUAAAGUUUAGAAACUUGUUAUAUAUGAUUUAAAUCCUUAAACUGAUGGGUUCCCUUCCUUUGUUCAGAUAGUUCAGAAUACAGAGUGCAUUCAUCUGAAGUGCUUGAAUUGCAUCACUAAGCACGAUCAUCCCACAGUUUGUGGGAAAUAGCUAUAUUAUAAGAAGCAGAGAUACAUUAAGUUCUACAGUUACUCUGACAGAACCUCCUUUAAAGAAACUUAACAUUUCCACUUGUCAUUUUUUCCAGUGAUAUGAAAUAGUACGCUGAAAUCCCUGUAAAGUCUUGCCAGAGAGAGGACUUCUGGAUUUUUACCGUAAUGCAGGCUUUCACUGCAUGCUGUGUCUAUCCCAUUGACAGAUCAACUGAACCAUGCACCACAUUUUGUUUUAAACCAACACAGAAAUUAAUGAAAGAGCUGGUAGCCUUUUUAAGAGGUUGGUGUAAUUUUUGAAAUGUCCCUGGAUCACCAAGUGUGUAUCCAUACAAUGUGUAAACAAGUUUUAUUUUGCAAAGCUCUGUGAUACAGCUGUUUCUAAUUUUCAUCUUGCAGAUGCUAUCUUGCUUACAUAGCAGCUUAGUUAAAAAGCUGUGUUGACUCAUAAGGCCAAGAUGUACAAUAUUCAGUUUUGGUUGAAAAGUGCAUAACUUCUUUAUCAUCCACAGGCAGAAAGCUUCAUGGUAAUAACCCCCGUGUUUUACUAGGAGCAGAAGACUGUAGGUCUGGAAGUGGUGUCAAACUCCCUUUUUGUGAGAAGUAAGCACAGUCAACUAUAAAAGCCUAAAGAAUAUGCUUAUUCAUCUUAUUUUUAUGGAAAGUCUUGGUGACUCACUGCAUUGGCGAGAGAAGAGGAUUUAGUUUAGCUAUUACUGUUUGUAAUUCACUUUUCCGUUAAGAUGGAAACAAAACAGAAACAACAUGGAAGAUUCCCUGAACACAAGCGAACGUGUCUGCUGCCUCUUGGUGUUUGCACGCCCUUUUGGCAGAGGAGCAGGGGAGCUGCAGGCACAUCCCUGGGCAAGUCGGUCCCUAACUGUGCAUGAGCUGUGCCUCAGACAAGAAGAAGAAGAAGAAAAGAAGUUUCAUUCUCCCCAGGACAAGGACUUGGUGUGAUAGAAUUUCCCUCGUGGAGAAGUGAAGACAUCACAUCUAAUUGCUAGGACAUAAUGACCCCAAAGGAGAGAGCCUGGUGGUCAACAGGGCAGAAGAAAACUGACUCCCGUGUUCAGAAAGAUAGAGAGGAGAAGUGACUGAGUUCAGGGCAUGUGCAGAGAGUUCAUGUGCCCAACCACAGCCAAACGAAGGCUCGGGAGCAUUGAGGCAAAGGAAGCAGAAAUGUGAAUGUUAGCCUGUUUAGCAUGGAUUUGUCUGUCUGAAUGCACACGUGCACACAGAUAUUCUCCAAGUGACUAAUAAAAGACAAAACUUGUGAA